rnacentral:tRNA from 1 species
GGUCGCAUAGCUCAGUGGAAGAGCACAAGCCUCCUAAGCUUGGUGCGCAGGUUCAACUCCUGCUGCGAUCGCCA